UACGUAGGGAGCAAGCGUUUGUCCGGAAUCAUUGGGCGUAAAGCGCGCGUAGGUGGCCAUGUAAGUCCGCUGUGAAAGUCAAAGGCUCAACCUUUGAAAGCCGGUGGAUACUGCAUGGCUAGAGUACGGAAGAGGCGAGUGGAAUUCCUGGUGUAGCGGUGGAAUGCGCAGAUAUCAGGAAGAACACCCGUGGCGAAGGCGGCUCUCUGGUACGUGACUGACGCUGAGACGCGAAAAGCGUGGGGAGCAAACAGG
rnacentral:rRNA from 1 species